GAUGAACGCUGGCGGCGUGCCUAACACAUGCAAGUCGAGCGAACAGAUCAGGAGCUUUCUCCUCUGACGUUAUCGCCGGACGGGAGAUUAACACGUGGAUGACCUACCUAUAAGACUGGGAUAACAACGCGAAACCGUAUCUAAUACCGGAUAAUAUAUUGCACCUCAUUGUUCAAUCGUGGAAUUCGGUUUUUCGUUCACUUAUAGCUGACUCCGGGCACCAUUCGCUAGUUGGUAAGGUAACUGCUUAGCAAGGCAACGAUGCGUAGACGACCUGAGAGGGUGGUCGGACACACGGGAAGUGAGACACGGUCGACACUCCUACGGGAGGCAGCAGUCGGGACUCUUCCGCAAUGGGCGAAAGGGUGACGGAGCAACGCCGGGUGAGUGAUGAUGGUGUUCUGAUCGUAAAGCUCUGUAGGUAGGGAGGAUGAAAUGUGUAAGUAACUAUGCAGAUCUUGACGGUACCUAGAGAGAAAGCCACGGCUAACUCCGUG
rnacentral:rRNA from 1 species